UCUAAGAGUGGAGUCAUAUGUGCAUAGAUUGUUCCAAAGAAAUUAUUCAGCAAAUGGUGUGGUGUGCAUAAGAUACUUGAAUCAGUUUUUAUCAUACACUGAUUUAUACCAUCAACGAUCGCGAAUCUGACUUCCCUAUUAGAGUAAUGGCAGACAUUGUUAUGCACUCAGCUACCAAGUUCAUUGCUGGGCACAGUGAUGUGAUGGCAGGUGUACUAGCUGUAAGAGGGGAAAGAUUAGCAAAAGAGCUGUACUUUCUACAAAAUGCAGAAGGGUCUGGGUUGGCUCCAUUCGAUUGUUGGCUCUGCUUUACGAAUUGAGGAG